rnacentral:sRNA from 3 species
CGUUUUAGAAAGCCGAAUCCAGCUCAGGUACGGGGGAACCAGUUUUAUGGGGUGAAACCUGAUUAGCACUGGCUUUUCAGGUAGGGUGCCUGCAACCCUAACCCGUCAGCUAACCUCGGAGGCCAAGGAGAGGGGAAAC